UACGUAGGGUGCGAGCGUUGUCCGGAUUUAUUGGGCGUAAAGAGCUUGUAGGUGGCUCGUUGCGUCGGGAGUGAAAACCCGCGGCUCAACCGCGGGCCUGCUUCCGAUACGGGCGAGCUAGAGUUCGGCAGGGGAGACUGGAAUUCCUGGUGUAGCGGUGAAAUGCGCAGAUAUCAGGAAGAACACCCGUGGCGAAGGCGGCUCUCUGGGACGGUACUGACGCUGAGACGCGAAAGCGUGGGGAGCGAACAGG
rnacentral:rRNA from 1 species